UGGGGAAGUCUUGUCCAAUGGGCGAAGACCUGACGCAGCCAUGCCGCGUGAAUGAUGAAGGUCUUAGGAUUGUAAAAUACUUUCACCGGGGAGGCGGUACCCGGAGAAGAAGCUCCGGCUAACUUCGUGCCAGCAGCCGCGGUAAUACGAAGGGGGCUAGCGUUGCUCGGAAUUACUGGGCGUAAAGGCGCGUAGGCGGACACUUAGUCAGAGGUGAAAGCCCGGGCUCAACUUGGAACUGCCUUUGAUACUGGCUGUCUUGAGUUUGGGAGAGGUGUGUGGAACUCCAGUGUAGAGGUGAAAUUCGUAGAUAUUCGAAGAACACCAGUGGCGAAGGCGACACACUGGCCCAAUACUGACGCUGAGGCGCGAAAGCGUGGGGAGCAAACAGGAUUAGAUACCCGAGUAGU
rnacentral:rRNA from 1 species